rnacentral:rRNA from 1 species
AUUGAACGCUGGCGGCAGGCCUAACACAUGCAAGUCGAGCGGCAGCGGGACCUUCGGGUUGCCGGCGAGCGGCGGACGGGUGAGUAAUGCCUAGGAAUCUGCCUGUUAGUGGGGGAUAACGCGGGGAAACUCGCGCUAAUACCGCAUACGUCCUACGGGAGAAAGCGGGGGCUCUUCGGACCUCGCGCUAACAGAUGAGCCUAGGUCGGAUUAGCUAGUUGGUGGGGUAAUGGCCCACCAAGGCGACGAUCCGUAACUGGUCUGAGAGGAUGAUCAGUCACUGGAACUGAGACACGGUCCAGACUCCUACGGGAGGCAGCAGUGGGGAAUAUUGGACAAUGGGCGAAAGCCUGAUCCAGCCAUGCCGCGUGUGUGAAGAAGGUCUUCGGAUUGUAAAGCACUUUAAGUCGGGAGGAAGGGCUGUAGGCUAAUACCUUGCAGUUUUGACGUUACCGGCAGAAUAAGCACCGGCUAACUUCGUGCCAGCCGCCGCAGUAA